GCGUCCGAGUUGUAAUUUGUAGAGGAUGCUUCUGGGCAGCCACCGACCUAAGUUCCUUGGAACAGGACGUCAUAGAGGGUGAGAAUCCCGUAUGCGGUCGGAAAGGCACCCUACACGUAGCUCCUUCGACGAGUCGAGUUGUUUGGGAAUGCAGCUCUAAAUGGGAGGUAAAUUUCUUCUAAAGCUAAAUAUUGGCCAGAGACCGAUAGCGCACAAGUAGAGUGAUCGAAAGAUGAAAAGCACUUUGGAAAGAGAGUUAAAAAGCACGUGAAAUUGUUGAAAGGGAAGGGAUUGCAACCAGACUUGCUCGCGGUGUUCCGCCGGUCUUCUGACCGGUUCACUCGCCGCGUUGCAGGCCAGCAUCGUCUGGUGCCGCUGGAUAAGACUGGAGGAAUGUAGCUCCCUCGGGAGUGUUAUAGCCUCUAGUGAUGCAGCGAGCGCCGGGCGAGGUCCGCGCUUCGGCUAGGAUGCUGGCGUAAUGGUCGUAAUCCGCCCGUCUUGAAACACGGACCAAGGAGUCUAACAUCUAUGCGAGUGUUCGGGUGUCAAACCCCUACGCGUAAUGAAAGUGAACGGAGGUGAGAACCGCAAGGUGCAUCAUCGACCGAUCCUGAUGUCUUCGGA
rnacentral:rRNA from 1 species